UAACCAUGAUAGGGACAAGAGUUGAUUAAAUCAUGACAUCUCUCCCAACCCUCAUAGAAUGACUCAUUUUCAUUUUGUUUAAAAAGAGUAAUCUUCCUUCUAAGAGU
rfam:Vitis vinifera, whole genome shotgun sequence of line PN40024, unoriented chromosome 1, chr1